AUUGUGUGUCACCAAAAUGGACCAAGGAAUUGAUAAUUGGCCUAGUGAAGGAGAAGAAGAUUCUUAAGAUCAAAAAUAUUGAGCUAAGGAAAAUGCAAAAGGCUAGAGCAAUUUUUGAUGAGCUGAACAAAAUAAGGUAAGAGCUGAAUAACUUGAAAUUGGAGAAAAAGAAAGAUGAAAGUGAAGCAGUAGUGACAUAUAAUAGCAGUAAGGAACAUUGGUAAAUUCUUAGCCAUUUUCAUAUGUUGGGUCUUGCUUCUAUUUGCUCUUGUUGCAAAGUAAAUUAGUUUGGAUAUCAUCAGGGACAUUUUGUUUGUUGGGGUAAUGUACUCGGUUUAGGAACAAGAGUUUAAUAAUGUUGCUGUAAGUGUUGGUGAAGAGAAUACGCAAACCAAA
rnacentral:misc_RNA from 1 species